AUUAGGGAAGAACAAACGUGUAAGUAACUGUGCACGUCUUGACGGUACCUAAUCAGAAAGCCACGGCUAACUACGUGCCAGCAGCCGCGGUAAUACGUAGGUGGCAAGCGUUAUCCGGAAAUAUUGGGCGUAAAGCGCGCGUAGGCGGUUUUUUAAGUCUGAUGUGAAAGCCCACGGCUCAACCGUGGAGGGUCAUUGGAAACUGGAAAACUUGAGUGCAGAAGAGGAAAGUGGAAAUCCAUGUGUAGCGGUGAAAUGCGCAGAGAUAUGGAGGAACACCAGUGGCGAAGGCGACUUUCUGGUCUGUAACUGACGCUGAUGUGCGAAAGCGUGGGGAUCAAACAGGAUUAGAUACCCUGGUAGUCCACGCCGUAAACGAUGAGUGCUAAGUGUUAGGGGGUUUCCGCCCCUUAGUGCUGCAGCUAACGCAUUAAGCACUCCGCCUGGGGAGUACGACCGCAAGGUUGAAACUCAAAGGAAAUGACGGGGA
rnacentral:rRNA from 1 species